AGGAUCAUUACUGUGAUUUAGUACUACACUGCGUGAGCGGAACGAAAACAACAACACCUAAAAUGUGGAAUAUAGCAUAUAGUCGACAAGAGAAAUCUACGAAAAACAAACAAAACUUUCAACAACGGAUCUCUUGGUUCUCGCAUCGAUGAAGAGCGCAGCGAAAUGCGAUACCUAGUGUGAAUUGCAGCCAUCGUGAAUCAUCGAGUUCUUGAACGCACAUUGCGCCCCUCGGCAUUCCGGGGGGCAUGCCUGUUUGAGCGUCGUUUCCAUCUUGCGCGUGCGCAGAGUUGGGGGAGCGGAGCGGACGACGUGUAAAGAGCGUCGGAGCUGCGACUCGCCUGAAAGGGAGCGAAGCUGGCCGAGCGAACUAGACUUUUUUUCAGGGACGCUUGGCGGCCGAGAGCGAGUGUUGCGAGACAACAAAAAGCUCGACCUCAAAUCAGGUAGGAAUACCCGCUGAACUUAAG
rnacentral:rRNA from 1 species